AUGGCUCAGUGGCAGAGUGCUUGCCCAAUAUGCAUGACCCCCUGGGUUCAAUUCCCAGU
rnacentral:tRNA from 1 species